rnacentral:rRNA from 1 species
CACCGCGGUUAUACGAGAGACCCAAGCUGAUAUGCACGGCGUAAAGAGUGGUUAUGAACAGAUAAUAACUAAAGCCGAAAACUUUCUAAGCUGUUAUACGCACCCGAAAAGUUGAAGUCCAAUAACGAAAGUAGCUUUACUACCCUCUGACCCCACGACAGCUAAGACA